GAGUUUUUUUCUUUUUUCUAUCAUUUUGUAUUAACAUUGAUGGGAAAAUGACUAAUGUGCUUAUUGUGGUUCUACCUUACUGUUUGAUAUAACAAAAAAAGAGAUAUAUUGACAAACUUUGCAUUUGAAAAAGGACUAUUAGAUCUUCAAGUUUUGAACCUUGCAACUAUUUAAGGGGAGCACUUUAUAAGCAAAUGUUUCUCAAGGUUUUUAUCAUAUCAAAAAGGGAGAGAUUGUUAGCUUUAAUAGCUUGAAAAUGAUU
rnacentral:lncRNA from 1 species